rnacentral:rRNA from 1 species
AUGGAACUAGACAAAUUCCUCAUGAAUGGUGAGUACACCUUCGUCGGAUUCGCCAUUGAAGGAGACAAAAGCAAGCUGAAGCUAUCUGGUUUGGAGAUCAACUCUGACAACUACAUUGAUAUUCAGGUGGAAUGGAGAGACCCGUACAAUAAAAAGAAGUUUGACUCUUUGGCUGAUGUUGCCGGCAGGAUGAUAGACAUUCACUACCAUGACAUGAAGAAAAAAAUUAACCGCAAGGAGGACCACACUCCGUGGGGAUUUUGCCCACUGCCAGAAAAGCUUAUCAAGUAUGCAGCAAUAGAUGCAUUCGCAACAUAUGAGUCAUGGAGAAUCAUCUACGAUGUCAUCAUGGGUAUGGACAGGGCAAAAAGAGACAAAGAAGCAAAGCAGAAGAAGAACAAGGCUGUAAUCCAAUACAGCAACUAG